GACGAACGCUGGCGGCGUGCCUAACACAUGCAAGUCGAGCGGGGAUUUAAGUGGAAGUUCUUCGGAAUGGAGAUUUAAAUUUUAGCGGCGGACGGGUGAGUAACGCGUGAACAAUCUGUCCCGGACAGGGGGAUAACACUUGGAAACAGGUGCUAAUACCGCAUAAGACCACGGCCUCGCAUGGGGCUGAGGUAAAAGGAGCAAUCCGGUUCGGGGUGAGUUCGCGUCCGAUUAGCUAGUUGGUGAGGUAACGGCCCACCAAGGCGACGAUCGGUAGCCGGCCUGAGAGGGUGAACGGCCACAUUGGAACUGAGAGACGGUCCAAACUCCUACGGGAGGCAGCAGUGGGGAAUAUUGGGCAAUGGGCGAAAGCCUGACCCAGCAACGCCGCGUGAGGGAAGAAGGUUUUCGGAUUGUAAACCUCUGUCCUAUGGGACGAAGGAAGUGACGGUACCAUAGGAGGAAGCCCCGGCUAACUACGUG
rnacentral:rRNA from 1 species